rnacentral:rRNA from 1 species
UACGGAGGGUGCGAGCGUUUGUCCGGAAUCACUGGGCGUAAAGGGCGCGUAGGCGGCGCGGGAAGUCAUCGGUGAAAAGUUCAGGGCUCAACUCUGAAUCGGCCGGUGAUACUCUCGUGCUCGAGCACUGUAGAGGCAGGUGGAAUUCCGGGUGUAGCGGUGGAAUGCGUAGAGAUCCGGAAGAACACCGGUGGCGAAGGCGGCCUGCUGGGCAGUGAGCUGACGCUGAUGCGCGACAGCGUGGGGGAGCGAACAGG